rnacentral:sRNA from 12 species
CCCUGACAGCCGCAUAGUGCGACUGACAUAACCCGUGACAGGAGAUACAUAUG